CUACGGGGGGCUGCAGUGAGGAAUAUUGCACAAUGGGGGGAACCCUGAUGCAGCAACGCUGCGUGGAGGAUGACGCAUUUCGGUGUGUAAACUCCUUUUAUAUGUCAAGAAAAUGACGGAAGCAUAUGAAUAAGCACCGGCUAACUCCGUGCCAGCAGCCGCGGUAAUACGGAGGGUGCAAGCGUUACUCGGAAUCACUGGGCGUAAAGGACGCGUAGGCGGGUUGGAAAGUCAGGUGUGAAAUCCUACAGCUUAACUGUAGAACUGCACUUGAAACUUCUAAUCUAGAGUAUGGGAGGGGGAGAUGGAAUUAGUGGUGUAGGGGUAAAAUCCGUAGAUAUCACUAGGAAUACCUAAAGCGAAGGCGAUCUCCUGGAACAUUACUGACGCUAAGGCGUGAAAGCGUGGGGAGCAAACAGGAUUAGAUACCCCCGUAGUC
rnacentral:rRNA from 1 species